rnacentral:misc_RNA from 1 species
AAGUCGUAACAAGGUUUCCGUAGGUGAACCUGCGGAAGGAUCAUUAUUGAAUAAACCUGAUGGGUUGCUGCUGGCCCUUCACCGGGCAUGUGCACGCCUGUCUUCUUUAUUUUUCCACCUGUGCACCACUUGUAGGCUUGAAUAGCAUUUUAAUUGGCCUUUGGGACAGCUUUGAGGAAUGCGGCCUUGGUCGCUAUUCUCUCCGAUAUUCAAGUCUAUGUUUUACUAUACACCCAUUGUUAAACCCAGAAUGUUAUUUACAGGCCACAAGUGUGCCUAAAACACUAUACAACUUUCAGCAACGGAUCUCUUGGCUCUC